CGGUCCAGACUCCUACGGGAGGCAGCAGUAGGGAAUAUUGUCCAAUGGGCGCAAGCCUGAGACAGCCAUGCCGCGUGUGUGAAGAAGGCCUUAGGGUUGUAAAGCACUUUCAGUUGGGAGGACAUAGCGGUGUUAAUAGCGCCGUGAAGAGACGUUACCAACAGAAGAAGCACCGGCUAACUCCGUGCCAGCAGCCGCGGUAA
rnacentral:rRNA from 1 species